AAGAUUGUAGCUUAGGUUGAAGAGCGAAGGACUGUAAUAAAGUAGUUAUCCUUAGGUCCCUGGUUCGAUCCCAUGCGAUCGGAUUUU